AUCCGCUCCAGUGAUGUGACCUCACCUCAUAACAUUUUUGAGAUUACCAUCCUAUCGCUAGGUAACAACCCUUUGUACCGACCAUUGUAGCACGUGUGUUCCCCUGGUCGUAAGGGCCAUGAUGACUUGA
rnacentral:rRNA from 1 species